AUUGAACGCUGGCGGCCUGCCUAACACAUGCACGUCGAACGAGUGGCGGACGGGUGAGUAAUGUCUGGGAAACUGCCUGAUGGAGGGGGCUAACUACUGGAAACGGUAGCUAAUACCGCAUACCAUCGGAUGUGCCCAGAUGGGAUUAGCUAGUAGGUGGGGUAAAGGCUCACCUAGGCGACGAUCCCUAGCUGGUCUGAGAGGAUGCCCAGACACACUGGAACUGAGACACGGUCCAGACUCCUACGGGAGGCAGCAGGGGGGAAGAUGGCAAAAUGGGCGCAAGCCUGAUGCAGACAUGACGCGUGUAUGAAGAAGGACGUCGGGUUGUAAAGUACUUGCAGCGGGGAGGCGUUACCCGCAGAAGAAGCACCGGCUAACGCCGUGCCAGCCGCCGCGGUAAUAC
rnacentral:rRNA from 1 species